GAUGAACGCUGGCGGCGUGCCUAAUACAUGCAAGUCGAGCGAACAGACGAGAGUGCUUGCACUCUCUGACGUUAGCGGCGGACGGGUGAGUAACACGUAGGUAACCUACCUAUAAGACUGGGAUAACUUCGGGAAACCGGAGCUAAUACCGGAUAAUAUUUAGCUUCGCAUGAAGCAAUAGUGAAAGACGGUUCUGCUGUCACUUAUAGAUGGACCCGCGGUGUAUUAGCUAGUUGGUGAGGUAACGGCUCACCAAGGCAACGAUACAUAGCCGACCUGAGAGGGUGAUCGGCCACACUGGGACUGAGACACGGCCCAGACUCCUACGGGAGGCAGCAGUAGGGAAUCUUCCGCAAUGGACGAAAGUCUGACGGAGCAAUGCCGCGUGAGUGAAGAAGGUUUUCGGAUCGUAAAACUCUGUUGUAAGGGAAGAACAAGUACGUUAGUAACUGAACGUACCUUGACGGUACCUUACCAGAAAGCCACGGCUAACUACGUG
rnacentral:rRNA from 1 species